rnacentral:tRNA from 2 species
GGGCGAAUAGCUCAGUGGUUAGAGCGCCUGCCUUACAAGCAGGAGGCCACAGGUUCAAGUCCUGUUUCGCCCACCA